rnacentral:rRNA from 1 species
GAUGAACGCAAGCGGCAGGCCUAACACAUGCAAGUCGAGGGAGAAGCCCUUUCGGGGGCAGAAACCGGCGCACGGGUGCGUAACGCGUAUGCAACCUACCUUUCACAGGGGGAUAGCCCGAAGAAAUUUGGAUUAAUACCCCAUAAUAUUAUUGGAUGGCAUUAUUUGAUAAUUAAAACUGCGGUGGUGAAAGAUGGGCAUGCGUCCUAUUAGCUAGUUGGAGUGGUAACGGCACCCCAAGGCUACGAUAGGUAGGGGUCCUGAGAGGGAGAUCCCCCACACUGGUACUGAGACAGGGACCAGACUCCUACGGGAGGCAGCAGUGAGGAAUAUUGGUCAAUGGUCGGAAGACUGAACCAGCCAUGCCGCGUGCAGGAAGAAUGCCUUAUGGGUUGUAAACUGCUUUUAUAUGGGAAGAAUAAGGUGUACGAGUACAUUGAUGACGGUACCAUAUGAAUAAGCAUCGGCUAACUCCGUGCCAGCAGCCGCGGUAAUACGGAGGAUGCGAGCGUUAUUCGGAAUCAUUGGGUUUAAAGGGUCUGUAGGCGGGCUAUUAAGUCAGGGGUGAAAGGUUUCAGCUUAACUGAGAAAUUGCCUUUGAUACUGGUAGUCUUGAAUAUCUGUGAAGUUCUUGGAAUGUGUAGUGUAGCGGUGAAAUGCUUAGAUAUUACACAGAACACCGAUUGCGAAGGCAGGGGACUAACAGACAAUUGACGCUGAGAGACGAAAGCGUGGGGAGCGAACAGG